CAGCUGGGGGUCACAAUGUGUCACUGAACAUGGAUUGCUGCAGACUCCAGGGCUCACCACAGUGGCUGGCACAGAGUGGGUGCUCGGUGAAUGUCCCACAGAGCUGAACUAGAAGGAAGGCAGAAAAAAUUACGAGGAAGCUCUUUAAGUAACAAUACGAAAACAUGUUUGAGAGAAGUGAAAAAGAAGCAGAACAGUGUGUAUGGAAUGCUCCUUUUUGUGCCAAAGAAAAAAGGGAGAGGAAAAUGUGUCUGUGUUGCCUAUAUCUAUAUCUGCUAUCUCUGGCAAACAAGCAAGAAACGGGAGACUCAGGCGGGUGAACCAGGCACCGGGGAAGUCUGUAGGAGCCUUUUCACUGGGUCCUAUUCUGUUUCUUCUGAAUUCUGGACAAUGUGCAACAAGUUGUCUAGUCAAUACUAUAUACAAUAAAGGGUUGGCAUAAAG
rnacentral:lncRNA from 1 species